rnacentral:rRNA from 1 species
UACGGAGGGUGCAAGCGUUAUCCGGAUUUACUGGGUUUAAAGGGUGCGUAGGCGGGUUGUUAAGUCAGUGGUGAAAGAUUCGAGCUCAACUCGGAAACUGCCAUUGAUACUGAUGAUCUUGAAUACAGUUGAGGUAGGCGGAAUGUGUCAUGUAGCGGUGAAAUGCUUAGAUAUGACACAGAACACCGAUUGCGAAGGCAGCUUGCUAAACUGUGAUUGACGCUGAGGCACGAAAGCGUGGGGAUCAAACAGG